GCUGACAUGGCUGAGUGGGGCCAAGGCUGGUUAUGGUUUGAAACGGUGUGGGUUCAAAUCCCACUUUCAACA
rnacentral:tRNA from 1 species